GGCUUAGCAAGCGGCUUAAGCGAAGGCCUUGAUUUCAAGGCUGCUCUGGAGUUCCUUGUGCACCCCGCAGGGCUUCCAUUUGGAAGGCCACGUCUCAACAGGCGAGAUGCUGUCCCCUGUGUCCUCCAAAGAGAACUGCAAUGGCAGUGCAGCGUUCUGACCGGCUCUUGGGGUCCACCGUGCCGUGGGGUCCGCGCGUGAGAGCCGGGCUUGAGUAGCAGGAGUGAGGAGGGGCCCAGGAAGGACUGUGACGGAGCAGUGGGCACGUGCCCCUUGGACAGGACAGUAGUGCAGUCUGGGCCAGUGGUGGCUCCGCGACAGCGGGUGACCGCGUGGCCCAGAUUUCCUGCUCGCUGGAGGUAUUCGGGAACCAGCUCACUCUGCGGAAACCUCCGGCUGCGGCAGCGCUGGACGGAGACAUCCCUGGGACAGUGUGGGCGUGGGGCUGUUGUAUACACUUCUUCGGGUUACAGCAAACAAUCAACUAUGAGCAUGAGGAGUUACCCAAUCAGCAGUGGGAUUCAAAAAGCAUCCAAUCAGCAACAAGCUUUACACCCAAUCAGCAACAAGCUUUACAUAUCCAAUCAGCAGUAGGAUUCAAAAAACAUCCAAUCAACAAGGGGGGAAGACACAACUAGCACACGUGAUUGAUGUAUGACAGUGCGAGAGGAGACUCUACCUGAUCAGGCAUUAAUUAUGAAACCAGAAGACGAUUUUCAAAGUCUUGGGAGGUGGAAGAGAUCCCAAGAGAGAACACAGAGCCCGGCAAGUAUUCCAAGAAGAGACGCAGCGUACAGUGUGGAUAAAAUUCCAGCAAGCACUCGAUGGGUCACACCGAAUGAAACCGCCAGGCUCUGUGUGCCUUUGUAACCAGAAGGCUGGGUGCUAAUUGAAGGCGGUGCUGCCGGCCCUGUGCCCACCACCAGGCUUGACACAUAAAACAUUACUAACACCCCAGAAGCUCCCCUGCCCCUCCGAGUCUCUGGUCAGGUCACCAGGUCACCAUUAUCCCGAUGGAGCACCAUACCUCCAUCGUGUCUGCACUGGAACACCACACAGUUGCGGUCUGUGACUGCUAUCCGCUGUCAUCUACUCACCCCUCCCCGCCUGGAGGUGUGGGGGGCUCUGCCAGCGCUGCCCCGCCAGGCUCCGGCACUGGGCCAGCCAGCAGGAGGAGGAGGGAGGGCUCACUUCUUCCUGCUGGCUCCUCGUUGGCUCCCUUUUCUCUGAAUGUCACCCCACCAAGCCUGCUUUACUCACAAGUGCAGCUCCUUCCUGUAGCUGGAGUCGAGUCUAAUUUGUGAUUUUGCCAACACUUGCAGAACCGCCAUCAGCGCAUCCAAAGACCCCAGCCACAGUGUCAGGGCUGGGUGCUGGCCCCUCCUCCAAAGCUUCUACAUUUUCGUAAUCCCAACUUUUUCUUUUUGUUCCCCAGGCCUGGGUGGGGUGGGGAUAGUAGCUCCUGUUGUUGCUACCUCCCUGAUUCUUUUUUAUGACUCUCAGCUUUUAGUCAGUUAACACCGCCCCCUCCUCUUUCUUUUAAGAGAGGGUUUUCCUCUGUCACCGUCGCCCAGGCUGAAAUGCAGGGGCACAAUCACAGCUCACUGCAGCCUGAACUCCUGGGCCCAGGUGAUCUUCCUGCU